rnacentral:sRNA from 4 species
GUUUGCACUUGUCGGGGAAGGGUGAGAACCUUCGACUAAGGUUCGAUUCGAGCGAAAGCGAGAGAACGUUGCCAACGGCAACGACCCGAAGGGCGAAGCGCGCAGCGCUGAGUCAUCCUUCCCCCACCACCA